CCGUAUAUCUGCUGCAUAACUGCAGCUUGGCGGUGUGAUUUAAUAUCGAUGAUUGUGGGUCCUCACUUUGAUUGUAUUUCUCAGGAUUCCUUUAGAUAUGAAUUGCUUUUAUGGUUUCCUGUGAUUUUUAGCAAUGUGUAUUUAUUUCUGUUAACUUUUGUUUUGCUACAUAAAGGUGCAUAAUUAGGGUUACAUUUUCACACAUAUAGAUUGGAUAAUGAUCAAAUCAGGGUACUUAGGAUGUCUAUUCCCUCAUAAGGUACUAUUUUUGUGUGGCGAGAACACUCAAAAUUCUCCUUUCUUAUUCUUUUGAAAAAUAUAAUAUUGUUAACUCCAGUCACCAGGCUGAGGAGGAGAACACUCAGAUUUAUUCCUUUAAGGUUAAGAUAACUUCGCUUCCAUAACCAAUCCCUACUCCCCCUCUGUCUCCCAGACCCUGGUAACCCAUAUUGCGCUUUCUACCUCUUUAAGAUAGACAUCUUAAGAUUCAGUGUUUGUCUUUCUUGGCCCAGCUCAUUACAUUUAACAUAAUGUUUUCCAGGUUCAUCUGGGUUGCUCCACAUGACACUGUUUCAUCAUUUCGGUGGCUGAAGAAUAUUCCCUAACGUAUGCAUACGAGAGUGUGAUCCCUUUAUCUGUGGAUGGACAGGAGAUGAAGAUGUUUUCAGUGCAUGCCUGAGAUGGUGUGGAAUGGGACUUUGUCUACCAGGCUCAUUCGUUGGACCUGAUGAUCUCCAGGUUUAUUCAUGUGGCUCCAGAUGGCAGGAUUUCCCAGAGCUUUAUGGCUGGAACAUACUCAUUGGUGUAUCUGUACAGCAGUUUCUUCAUCCCUGCAGCUGUGUGUGGACAGGUCAUAUACCACGAUGUCCUCCAGGUUCAACAGUGUGGCUCCCAAUGAUGAAAUUUCAUUCUGGUUUUUUGGCUGAAGACGAUUCUAUUUGUGUACAUCCACCAAGUAUCCCUUCAUCUGCGGAUGGGCAGGUUUUUCCAUGUGGCUGCAAGUGAAGAGAUUUCCCCCAUUUUUAUGAUUGAAGAAUAUUCUGCUCUGGAUGUAUAUUGCAGUUUCCUCGUCCCUUCAUCAAUGAA